rnacentral:rRNA from 1 species
AAUUUAUUAUAUUAUUUUUUAUAAUUGUUUAUUUAUUUAUUUAAUAAAAAUAAUUUUAGUGAUUUUAGUCUAAGUAUAUUUUAUAGAAUAGAUUUUAAUUAUUAUAGCUUAUUAGUAAUGUAAUUGGAUUAUGAAAUAUACUUCAAAUUUUAUAAAGUAAAUUUUAUUAAUUGUACCUUUUGUAUCAGGGUUUAUUAAAAUGGAAGUAUUUAUUUACUAUUCUCGAUUUGGGUUGAUUUAAAAAUAAAUUUUAGUUAAUGUUUCAUAAUUAUUGAAAAUUUAUUUUUAGAAAUGAAAUGUUAUUCGUUUCCUAAUAUAUCUAGUUUCUUAAGAAAAAAUUUAAUUUUAUGUACCUAAUGUUUUAUUUAAUUUUUAAAUUGUUAAUAUUAGGUAAUUUAUUCUUUAGGGGAUAAGCUCUGAAGUAUAAUAAUCUAUAAUUUUUUAAUUUUAAAUAUAAUAUUAGGCUUUAAACCAGCUAUCUUUAAGAUUACGUUUUAGUUCAUUAUUAUUAUAUUUGAUUUUAUAAUUAUUUCAGGUUUUAUAUUAAGUAGAUGAAUUUAAUUUUUAAAUUUUUGUAAUAAUGAUAAAAUUAGUAUAGUAUUUUAGUUUAUAAUAUUUUUUAAGAUAAUUUAUUAUAAGGAACUAGGCAAAAUUAAUUUCCGCCUGUUUAUCAAAAACAUGUCCUCUUGAUAAUAUUUUGAGGUCUAACCUGCUCACUGAUUAUAAUUAAAGAGCCGCGGUAUUUUGACCGUGCAAAGGUAGCAUAAUCAUUAGUCUUUUAAUUGAAGGCUGGAAUGAAUGGUUUGACGAGAAAUUAACUGUCUCUUAAUAAAUUUUAGAAUUUAACUUUUUAGUCAAAAGGCUAAAAUUUUUCUUUAGGACGAGAAGACCCUAUAGAGCUUUACAUUUUAAUUUUAUAUAAUUUUAUGAUGGUUUUUUUAUAUUAAAUGAAGAUGUUUUGUUGGGGUGACAUGAAGAAUAAAUAAACUCUUCAUUAUAAAAUCAUUGAUUUAUGUUUAUUAUGAUCCAUAAUUUAUGAUUAUAAGAUUAAGUUACCUUAGGGAUAACAGCGUAAUUGUCUUUGAGAGCUCAUAUUGACAAGGCAGAUUGCGACCUCGAUGUUGGAUUAAGAAAAGUUUUGGGUGCAGUAGUCCAAUAAUUAGGUCUGUUCGACCUUUAAAUUCUUACAUGAUCUGAGUUCAGACCGGCGUAAGCCAGGUCGGUUUCUAUCCUAAGAUUUUAGAAUUCAUAUUAGUACGAAAGGACCAUAUGGGUAAAAUAUUUUUUAUUUGAAUGAUUAAAAUUAAUAUU